AUACGGAGGGUGCAAGCGUUACUCGGGAUCACUGGGCGUAAAGCGCGCGCAAGCGGCUAUUUAAGUUGGAUGUGAAAGCCUACGGCUCAACCGUAGAACUGCAUCCAAAACUAUUUAGCUAGAGUGUGGGAGAGGAAGAUGGAAUUAGUUGUGUAGGGGUAAAAUCCGUAGAGAUAACUAGGAAUACCAAAAGCGAAGGCAAUCUUCUGGAACACUACUGACGCUGAGGCGCGAAAGCGUGGGGAGCAAACGGGAUUAGAAACCCUAGUAGUCC
rnacentral:rRNA from 1 species